UUCUUAUUUAUUAUAAUAAGUAUAACCUGCUCAAUGAUAUAUUUUAAAUAGCCGCAGAUAUUCUGUGCUAAGGUAGCAUAAUCAUUUGCUUUCUAAUUAAAAGCUAGAAUGAAAGGUUUAACGUUUUAAUUUCAUUUUUAUUUAUAUCUUAUUAAAAUUUUAUUAAAUAUAAAAAUAUAUUUAUAUAUUAAAUAGACGACAAGACCCUGUUGAACUUAACUUUAGUUUAGCUGGGGCAGCUUAUUAAUUAUAAUUUUAAUUAAAUUUUAUUUAAUGAAUUAUCCAAUAUAAUUGAUUAAUUUAUCAAGUUACCACAGGGAUAACAGCGUAAUAUUAAUUUAAAGCUCAUAUUAAAAUUAAUGUUUGCGACCUCGAUGUUGAAUUAUAAUUCUAUAUUAACGCAAUAGUUAUAAAAGUAGGUCUGUUCGACCUUUAAAACAUU
rnacentral:rRNA from 1 species